rnacentral:rRNA from 1 species
UACGUAGGGUGCGAGCGUUAAUCGGAAUUACUGGGCGUAAAGGGUGCGCAGGCGGUUUGCUAAGACAGGCGUGAAAGCCCCGGGCUUAACCUGGGAGGUGCGCUUGUGACUGGCAGACUAGAGUGCGGCAGAGGGGGGUGGAAUUCCACGUGUAGCAGUGAAAUGCGUAGAGAUGUGGAGGAACACCGAUGGCGAAGGCAGCCCCCUGGGCUAGCACUGACGCUCAGGCACGAAAGCGUGGGGAGCAAACAGG